CGGCCGCGUCGACUUAACACAUGCAAGUCGAACGAUGAAGCCCAGCUUGCUGGGUGGAUUAGUGGCGAACGGGUGAGUAACACGUGAGUAACCUGCCCUUAACUCUGGGAUAAGCCUGGGAAACUGGGUCUAAUACCGGAUAGGAGCGCCUACCGCAUGGUGGGUGUUGGAAAGAUUUAUCGGUUUUGGAUGGACUCGCGGCCUAUCAGCUUGUUGGUGGGGUAAUGGCUCACCAAGGCGACGACGGGUAGCCGGCCUGAGAGGGUGACCGGCCACACUGGGACUGAGACACGGCCCAGACUCCUACGGGAGGCAGCAGUGGGGAAUAUUGCACAAUGGGCGAAAGCCUGAUGCAGCGACGCCGCGUGAGGGAUGACGGCCUUCGGGUUGUAAACCUCUUUCAGUAGGGAAGAAGCGAAAGUGACGGUACCUGCAGAAGAAGCACCGGCUAACUACGUGCCAGCAGCCGCGGUAAUAC
rnacentral:rRNA from 1 species